rnacentral:sRNA from 1 species
GUUUGCGCCGCGAGUCAAAAGAUUCGCGAUCACCGAGGAUCACUGAAAUCUGAAUUGCCGGUGUGACGAGUCGUUCUCGUUCUUCUUUCUGUGAUGUCAAAAAUGAGUUCGAAGGACAAGGAUAAUAAAACGUUGCACGACAAACUGAAGCAAUUUUUUCGCAUAAACAAAGCGAUUGACAUUGCAGGUAGCUAUAAAAGUCGUGAAGAUUUCACUCUGACUCAUGACAUAGAAAAAGAGAUUAGUCCCGACAGUCCAGUCCAUCAUCGUACGAAAGCGAUUAAAGAGCUAUGUGAUACGGUACUGAAUCAACAAUGGGAGGAUAGAGCAGCGGAACGACUAUGGAGUUUAGUUAAAGAUUUACUAGGAAAAGACGUUCCGCGCGAACAUAGGCACUUGACGUUAAAUUUUCUGAAAUGCCUUGUACAAGGACAAUAUUCGAAACUUUCGUCAUUGAUGCGCGUAAACUUUUUUAUGGUAGUAAAGGAAUACGAUAUGCCUGAAGAUAUCAGCCUUAGAUUGGAAUUGUUGCAAACGUUGACAGAAAAUGGAAAGGAUAUUUUACACUUGGAGGAAAGAAUGGGUCCGUUCCUGUUGGAAUGGAUGCCUACAGUAACGGCGGGAGACGGAAAGAGAGGAGCCGAGUUCUUGUCUCUUCUUGUAAACGUUAUCAAGUUCAAUUCAGCUUACAUCGACGAGGAUGUUAUAUCUGGUCUUGUUCAAUCUAUUUCCCAUUUGUGUUAUUAUAGUAAUAACACUGAGGUCGUUUCGGGAUGCCUGGAAGCUCUCGAUGCAAUUAUGUGUUAUAGUAAUCUACAAUCUGAUUCAUUGCAAACGUUUAUUAUAGCUUUGUGCAGGAGCGUAAAUGUUGAGACUUAUUGCCAAACUAGCUGGAAGAUUAUGCGGAAUUUACUAGGAACGCACAUGGGCCAUUGUGCCCUGUAUACGAUGUGUCGUUUGCUGCAAGAUGUAAAUUUUCAACGUGACGUACGUUUACUUCGAGGUGCAGUGUUUUACAUAAACAUGGGUUUAUGGGGUACUCACAGAAUACCAAAGUUAGAAUGUACACCAGCGUCUGUUCUGCCGUCAUUUUAUCAAGCUUUACAGUGCAACCACCCGUUUGUUAUGUAUGAAGUUACGCUAUCGAUACAAAGAUUGGUGAAUAAGUAUGGUAACGAAUUAUGGGAUCCUACAUGGAGCAUUAUUCUUGAUAUUAUUGAAGAAAUUAUUGCUCAUACCGAAACUAGUAAUCAGCCAGCAACGAAACAAGUGUCUGCAAGUUUACAUGAAACGAUCACUAAUAUCGAAAAUUUACUUGAUACGAAUAAUUAUAAUGGUAGCGUUCAACGUUUCUAUGAUCUCAUUGAACGUUGCAGCAACUCUCGACCUGAAGCAUCUGUAUUAAAACUGAUUGAAUACAGAGCUUCCACGAUAGGUCCUACGUAUCACCAAUGGCAAGCCAAAUUAGGAUCUCUGGUUGAGCAUUACUACAAAAUUGAAACACGUACGACCAUUAGAAUGAAGGUUCUUGCUGUUUUAACCAAUGUUAUUCAAGUUAACAGAUCCAGGUACGAGGAUGAACUUAUUGAGCGUAUUGUUGUACCGUACAUGCAACAUGUGGAUAUGGAUCCAGAUAUUACGAUACGUAACGUCACAGCAAAUUUACUGGUGGAUCUUUGUCUCGAAUGUGAUACUAAGCGGUGUAUAGAACUUUUGGACAUACUGGAGAAGAUAAUCAAUAAGCCUUUUACGUCAGACGCACCGGUCUCUGUGGAUGCUGAUAUUAAAGACGUGAAAACUGCCGUUGUCGGCAUCAUAAAGAUAUUCACGUCAAAGAUGUAUCGUUUACCAUCGACUCACGCGAUUUGUGCUUACAAAAUUUUAGUAAAUCAUCUUGAACAGCAUUACAAGGACCCCUCUGUCUUUCACGAUGUAUCAACCACUCGUUAUUUGAUUUUCGAGAGUUUUCUGAAAAUUAGAGCAAACGCUCUGUAUCAUAUUGGAAUUCUGGAUGCAACUAAUGGUACUGUAACUCGCUUCAGUCCAUAUCUCGUUUUGGAACAUGGCACUGAACGUAUGAGUAGUGCGGGUGGAGGCAAUAGUCCUCCACCAGCCAGUCCUGUGCCGCUACAACAUUUGUCUUGUCAUAUUACUCCAAUGUCUUUAACUCACGGAUGUAAAGUUAUUAUUUCAUGUAUUAAGCAAGAAAAAGAUUGGAAAGUUUUACAUCUUAUAUUAAAGGAAUUGCCUCAAGUGAUGCAGAACAGGGCACUGAUAUUAUCCCGCCACAGUAAUGACAUCGAUUUCUUUGCAGCAGCUUUAUGUUCAAUGGUGAGCGAUAAGAGUCUGCGUCUUCCCGAAUCACUUUAUAAUGUUCCGCCCAAGUUUACUCUUUCCGAAUUUCGAGUCUACGUUUUUCCAGUACUAGCGUCUCUAGCGUCAUAUCAUGCACAUUUGGAACCUAAUUUGCAACAACGUUUAAUAAAGUGUCUUGAGGUCGGUCUCACAGCAAAGUGUGCAAGUCAAUGUGUUACCAGUCUCACGAUUUGCACACUAGAAAUGCGCGAUGCAAUGAAUAAACUUCUGACUGAAGUACUUUUAAAUUUAUCAAAAAUUUCUGCAACUGUUUACAUUGCCAUACCUAUCUUGGAAUUCUUAUCAACUUUGACUAGACUUCCAAAAGUUUUUGCCAGUUUCAUCGGAGAUCAGUACAUGUCUGUAUUUGCGAUACUAUUGCCAUACACCAAUCCUUUUAAAUAUAACCAUUAUACCGUAUCUUUGGCACAUCACGUAAUUGCAGUAUGGUUUCUAAAAUGCAGACUUCCUUUUCGGAGAGAUUUUGUUAAAUUUAUUACUACAGGAUUAAAAGCGAACGUGAUAGUACCUUUUGAAGAAGGACAUUUAAUGAAGUCGGACUUUAAUGUCGUCAAUGAAGAUUCCUCAAAUAGGAAACGUAGUUCCAGUUUGACUGAACAAGGUAGUAGAGGUCGAAGAGAAAGACCAAUAAUGGCUAAUCGUAUAAUCGGAGAAAGCAGGGCUUUAGACUUGAAACCUCCGAUUGAUGAAGGUUUAAUGAACUUUCAUAUUGAACUUACCGAAACUUGUAUUGAUUUGAUGGCUCGUUACACAUUUUCGAAUUACUCGGCUCGACCUAAAAGAUUACCAGCUGCCGAUUUCCUUCUUAAAGAAGGUCAAUCGAUGACUUGGAUACUUGGCAAUAGACUCAUCACUGUAACGACAAGUGGUUGCAGUAAUAAAGCUAUGCGCGGCGGACUCUGUGACAAUUGCUGGGCGGCGUGUAAACCUGGCUUCUUAUUAUUAGAUCAAACAAAAGCUUCUCACUCGAAUUUACAACGCACUUCAAGUAUCGAGACGUCAAAGGAGGAUAAGUUAUCCAGACAGUCCUCCGGUGGUCACGGAAGUUCAAACACGAACACUGCUACAAAUUCACCCACGGAAGAAUGUAAAAAGUCUGUGGAAGAUACGGAGAGCAAGAAGGAAUUUCACAUGGAAAGGACUGACAAGGAUCAAGUUGAACCGUCCAAAUUAGGACAGAUAUUAAAUAGCGAUAAACAAGACGGGCAUGUACUCUGCGCUUGCUGGUGUCAGGGCUGGGCGGAAAUUUAUGUGCGUAGACCAACGGGCGAUAUGUCGUGGAUUAUGAGGAUCCAAAAUUCUACGCAGUUUGAAACACCCAUGGAUUUUCCUGUGCACGAUAUUAUGGCUCUGUACAUGCCAAAUCAAGAUGUAUUGUCGAACAAGCAAGCACCGGAGGUUGCGCCAGAAUAUUCCGAUGAUGAAGUAGAGGAUGUGCCAAACAAAAAUAAUAAUCAAGUACACAAUGAGCAUAAUGUGAAAUCAGCGAUAUCUUGUUCCACAUCAUCGGGUCCUAUCGCGAUACCUGGUUCGCCAGCACGACCCAGCCCAUCUCGGCAAAGUUCAAAAGAUAGUUUGGAAAGUUUAGAAGAAGGCGAAGAAGACACACGGCGUUCUAGAAAUCCAGUACGUCGAUCGAAUUCUAGUCCCGAGAUGAGCGCCAAUUGGAAGAAUCCAUUUUUAAAUAAAGAAAAACUGAAUGUACAGCAGCAAGUUGACAAAGAUUUUGCUUGUUCAGAUCUAGAUAUUAAGUUGGACGCAGAAUUGAAGAAGCAUUCAAAGAACAUUUACAUGAAAGACAUGAGAGUUAGUUGUGAAGCAAUACCAGAAGAGAUAUUUGGCAUGGGGACAACUCCACCUUCCUCGGAAAGUACCGGAGACCAUCCAAGCAUAUUACGUUCACAACGUUCCUAUCCAGGAACAACGCAGGUCUCUCAAACUAUUUCAACAACUGCUAGCAACACUGUACCACCGUCCCCUACAAUUCUACAGGCACCAGGAAAUUAUUUGGGCAUACAAACACGUCCUGUACAACUACAGUCCUCUACCACCGCCGCAAAGGCGCCGCAAUCACCUACGCAGGUUUAUUCUCGAUUAUCUAGUCUUGAUUAUAGUCAGAAACAAAUGCCACCAACUGUCGAAAAUAAACCGCCUAUCGGACGAAAUCACUUUGCGGAUAAGCAGAAAGAUGAGAGGCCAGAUCCGUCUACCUUGCCCCCUUUACCUAUAUCGUUCCGUGAUAGGGGUCACACGAUUUCUGUUAUGAGUCCUGUGAAAAAAUCGCGAGGGGAGUGGGAUAACAUGCGACGAGGCAAUUCCCCUCGAAUAAAAGAUCCGCCACGGACGGGCAUUAAUCCGAGUUUUGUAUUCCUUCAACUUUAUCAUGCAGCGCAUUUUGGCACUACAACGGAGAAGCCUCUGUUAGUCCCACAGACAACAGCGAUACAGCGCGCGGUAACGAAUUUAGAUAGAAUACAGCCGUACGAAACUCAUAAAAUUGGAGUGCUCUACGUUGGCCCGGGUCAAGCCUCGAAUGAGAUUGAAAUUCUGGCAAAUCAGCAUGGUUCCCUUCGUUACACCGAAUUCUUGAAACGCUUGGGCACGUUGGUUCGAUUGAAAGAUGUCGAUGAAAAUGUGUUCCUAGGUGGAUUAGAUCGCAACGGUGAGAAUGGAGAUUUCGCUUAUAUCUGGCAAGAUGAUGUCACACAGGUAGCAUUUCAUGUUGCGACGUUAAUGCCUACAAAAGCAAGUGAUCCAAAAUGUACAUCGAAAAAAACUCAUAUUGGAAAUAAUUAUGUCACGCUUGUUUACAAUGAAUCUGAUGAGCCAUACAACAUUCAGACAGUUAAGGGUCAAUUUAACUAUGCCUGCGUUGUGAUACAACCUUUAGAUCACGGUACUAAUCAAGUUACGGUGCAAGCACGAGAAGAAUUAGCCGAACAUAUUGGUCACAGCGAGCCUAAGAUAAUUUCCGAUCCAAAUCUUGCUAUUCUUUCGCGACAACUCGCUCUGCAUGCUAAUCUCGCAUCGAUGGUCUGCUCAUCUUUGAAACAAAAUAGCCAUAAUCCAUACGCUUCUAACUGGUUGGAGCGUUUACGUCAUAUCAAGCGACUGAGGAAUAGAGUGCUGCAGGAAAAUGUUAACAACAAUCCAGACACUACGGCAGACGAAUUAUCACCGAGAACGAACAAGCGAGUUUAUAUGGACGAUUUUACAGAAUAUACAACGUAGUUUUGCUGCAUACUCGCAGGCUAAUUCUGCUAAUAAUAAUAAAAAAAAAAAGAACGAACGAGGAUCACUAAAAUUAUUCGAAUCGAAUUAGAGAUUGGAUUCAUUGUUUAAUGAAUUAAUGGAAAAAUCGACAGCUUUUUGGAUAUUAAGUGAUUGUACGGUACUUGAAAAAUUAUAUUAUGUGUUUCACUGUAAUAGUUUAAGGUGAGAUUAGUAUAAUUAAUAUUCUUUGCUCGCAAUAUAAAGAAAAUACUAUAAAACUAUACAUACAAGCAUGUUAUUAUAUCGAUACUGGUAGUAGUAAGGGUGAUCACGCACACUUUCUAUGAGGAGUAACAGUAGGGUUAAAUUCUCUCGAAAUUGAAUUCAGUCGAAUCGAGCCUUCUUAUUACAAGCGUGUGUAAUUAUCAGGGCUGGAUUGGGUUCUCCAAAAAGGCGCCGCAGACCUUACAUGUUCGGAUCAGAGGAUGCAAAAUUAUAAAUAAAUCAUUGGCAAUAGAAAAUUAGAAACCCGUUUGGCGUUGAACACUGUAGGCCCCAAAUAUUUGAUUCACAGAUAUCAUCGGUACAGUAGCUAAAAUUUUUUUAAGUAAGGAGCCAACUUGAAAAAGCAAACAUAAUAGACGCUUGCGCAGUUUUGUGAUGCAAACAUGUCUAAGGAAUAAACUUUCAUAUCUUUCUUUA